rnacentral:rRNA from 1 species
GAUGAACGCUGGCGGCGUGCCUAAUACAUGCAAGUCGAGCGAACAGACGAGGAGCUUGUUCCUUUGACGUUUGCGGCGCACGUGUGAGUAACACGUGGAUAACCUACCUAUAAGACUGGGAUAACUUCGGGAAACCGGAGCUAAUACCGGAUAAUCUAUUGAACCGCAUGGUUCAAUAGUGAAAGACGGUUUUGCUGUCACUUAUAGAUGGAUCCGCGCCGCAUUAGCUAGUUGGUAAGGUAACGGCUUACCAAGGCGACGAUGCGUAGCCGACCUGAGAGGGUGGUCGGCCGCACUGGAACUGAGACGCGGUCCAGACUCCUACGGGAGGCAGCAGUAGGGGAUCUUCCGCAGUGGGCGAAAGCCUGACGGAGCGACGCCGCGUGAGUGAUAAAGGUCUUCGGAUCGUAAAACUCUGUUAUUAGGGAAGAACAAAUGUGUAAGUAACUAUGCACGUCUUGACGGUACCUAGUCAGAAAGCCACGGCUAACUACGUG